CUACGGGGGGCUGCAGUGAGGAAUAUUGCGCAAUGGGGGAAACCCUGACGCAGUGACGCCGCGUGAGUGAUGAAGGCUUUCGAGUCGUAAAGCUCUGUUAGGUGGAAAGAAAUGUUCUAGUGCCAAUACCACUAGGAUUUGACGGUACCACCAGAGGAAGCACCGGCUAACUCCGUGCCAGCAGCCGCGGUAAUACGGAGGGUGCAAGCGUUGUUCGGAAUUAUUGGGCGUAAAGAGCGUGUAGGCGGUAAGGCAAGUCAGGUGUGAAAUCCCUUAGCUCAACUAAGGAAGUGCAUUUGAAACUGCCUCACUCGAGUACGGGAGGGGAAAGUGGAAUUCCCAGUGUAGAGGUGAAAUUCAUAGAUAUUGGGAGGAACACUGGUGGCGAAGGCGGCUUUCUGGCCUGAUACUGACGCUGAGACGCGAAAGCGUGGGGAGCAAACAGGAUUAGAUACCCCAGUAGUC
rnacentral:rRNA from 1 species